rnacentral:rRNA from 1 species
UACGUAGGGGGCAAGCGUUGUCCGGAAUCAUUGGGCGUAAAGCGCGUGUAGGCGGCUUGGUAAGUCCGUUCUGAAAGCCCGGGGCUCAACCCCGGGAGGCGGAUGGAUACUGUCAAGCUUGAGUCCGGAAGAGGCGAGUGGAAUUCCCGGUGUAGCGGUGAAAUGCGCAGAUAUCGGGAGGAACACCAGUGGCGAAGGCGACUACCUGGCCUGUUCUUGACGCUGAGGCGCGAAAGCUAGGGGAGCAAACGGG